rnacentral:sRNA from 1 species
CGGCCGCCUGGUGGACUCCAAAGCCAAGACGCGGAGCGCCGGCUGUGCCGCCUACAUGGCACCCGAGCGCAUUGACCCCCCAGACCCCACCAAGCCGGACUAUGACAUCCGGGCCGACGUAUGGAGCCUGGGCAUCUCGUUGGUGAGUUGGGGUCCUCCCCUGUUCUC